rnacentral:rRNA from 1 species
GAAUCCCGUCUUUGGCACGGAUGCACCAGGGCUUUUGUGAUGCGCUCUCGAAGAGUCGAGUUGUUUGGGAAUGCAGCUCAAAAUGGGUGGUGAACUCCAUCUAAAGCUAAAUAUUGGCGAGAGACCGAUAGCGAACAAGUACCGUGAGGGAAAGAUGAAAAGCACUUUGGAAAGAGAGUGAAACAGUACGUGAAAUUGUUGAAAGGGAAACGCUUGAAGUCAGUCGCGUCGACCGAGACUCAGCCUUGCCUCGGCUCGGUGUACUUCUCGGCCGACGGGUCGGCAUCAAUUUUGCCCCUCGGAUAAUGGCGAGAGAAAGGUGGCACCCUCACGGGUGUGUUAUAGUCUCCCGUCGGAUGCGAGGGUCGGGAUUGAGGAACUCGGCACGUACCGUGCUUAGGAUGUUGGCAUAAUGGCUUUAAACGACCCGUCUUGAAACACGGACCAAGGAGUCUAACAUGCCCGCGAGUGUUCGGGUGGAAAACCCGUGCGCGUAAUGAAAGUAAAAGUUGGGACCCCUGUCGUGGGGGGCACCGACGCCCGGACCAGACCUUCUGUGACGGAUCUGCGGUAGAGCGUGCAUGUUGGGACCCGAAAGAUGGUGAACUAUGCCUGAAUAGGGUGAAGCCAGAGGAAACUCUGGUGGAGGCUCGUAGCGAUUCUGACGUGCAAAUCGAUCGUCAAAUUUGGGUAUAGGGGCGAAAGACUAAUCGAACCAUCUAGUAGCUGGUUCCUGCC